rnacentral:tRNA from 1 species
GUCCCUGUAGCGCAAUGGGUAGCGCGUUGGACAUCUAAUCCAACUGUCGUGGGUUUGAAUCCCGCCUGGGAUU